UACGUAGGGUGCAAGCGUUGUCCGGAAUUAUUGGGCGUAAAGAGCUCGUAGGCGGUUUGUCGCGUCUGCUGUGAAAACUCGGGGCUUAACUGGAAAACAGCUUCUGAUACUGGCCAUCUUGAGGGAGGUAGGGGCAUGUGGAACUUCCGGUGGAGCGGUGAAAUGCGUAGAGAUCUGGAAGAACACCAAAGGCGAAGGCAGCGUCCUGGGAAGUGACUGACGCUCAUGUGCGAAAGCUAGGGGAGCGAACGGG
rnacentral:rRNA from 1 species